UCUCUCUCUCUCUCUCUCUCUCUCUCUCUCAGUAUCCCGGUCCUCUUUCGGCCUCCCUCCCUCUACUCUCCUCCCCCUUCUCCUCUCUCACUCUCAGAUUCCGCAUUCAGGAUUCACAUUUCUCUGAAGCAACUCACUUCCCACGUCUGUCCCAUGCCUCACUUCUCUCUCUCUCUCCUCCCUGCACCUUUCUUUUGCUUUCUCACUCUAUCCUUUCUGCUCUUCCCACUCUGACUGAUUUCCACAUCUUCCAUCCUUGUCUUUCAUCCUUAAUUUCCUUCUUGUUUUCUUUCUUCAUAUGUCUAUUCUCUUCCACUCACUCACUACUUUUAUCUUCUACUCUGUUCCCAUCAUGUUCUUAUCUAUGCUCUACCCUCCUCAUCUUUCACCAGUGUCCAUGGUGAAAGUUUGAAAACUCUAGUUGUGAGGGAACUCUUCAUGUGGGCCCUAAAAUGGGAUGAAGCCUGAAAAUUAGGAGAGCCAGGAGUGUGUCUCAGAUGUCACGCGUGGGCGGAGGAGAGGAGAGAAGGAGGGGAGAGAGGACCCCACCGCGCUCAAAAAGAGACAAGACGGUGCUCUCUUGGGUGGCGCCCUCUGCAAAGGUCUUGAUACAGAGAGGUUUGGGGUUAAAGGGAAAACCAUAAAUUUUUCAAAAUGUCCACAUAAUUAAAUCACUGAGUCGUAAACAAGGUCAUGCUGAGUGGUUUGAUGUGAAAUUAUGCACUAUUGAGAAAUUUAAGGCGUCUUCCUGCUAGAAUUUGUUUCCGGGCUCAGGGCAGCUGGCUUGGUUAGUUCAAUUUGUUUGGUCAAGUGUGAAAGCUGUCUUCAAGUCCAAGAGUGGUCCAGAGAACCAGUCUCAGGUUUUCCUCCUGAAACCGGUGGUCUGGGGUUUGCUUUGAGAAAACUCUGGUGCCGUCCCCUGCAUAUGUGGAAGCUGUCCUCCCCUGGUGCCAGUACUGGUUAAUUUUGUAAAGUGACUGCUUUAUCACGUCAUUUCCCUAUUCAUAAAACUACACACAUUUAUUGGACUGUAAGGUUACAGUAAUAAGCAGACCUUUGUGGAGCGAGUGUCUCGUGCAUGUCUUGUGCUGGCCUGCAUGGCUGAAAACUUCAUUCUUGUAUCAGCCGACUUGUAGGUCACAUCCUUCAGUUUGUUCUGGCCUAGUAUUCAGCUUAGGUCUCUGCCCAGAUCUGGCUCACACAUUUUAAAGUGAGUGAAACUAAUGGAUGUGGCUGAAGUCUGGCCCAGCUACAUUGGUGGCCCCCAACAUUCACACCAGAAUUCACCCACAAAUAUAGACACAAGGCAAAACCAUAUGAAGCCAUGUAGCAUCUAGCCCUAUUCUGGCUCACAUGCCUGACAUUUGCCCAGUAGUCAACCAACAAUCAUGUAGGAAAGGCAGAAGUGGCCCAAAACUGCUAUCUGUGUUGCGCUGGCCUGCAUGGCUAAAACAUUCUUAUACAGCAACUUUUUUGCAGGUGCUCCUGCAUGGUGAAAUGCCAUAUAUCCAAAAAGCACAAUUUUUCACUGCUUGAGCAUUUCUUUCCAAGGAUAAUAAUAAAAAGAAGCAAAGAGAAUAAGCUAGCGCUUUCCAUUUUGUAAACUUGUGUGUAGAAAGGAGACAAGUGGAAUUGCGCAACUGACCAGCGAUACCAGCAACAAUGAGCCCCUCCCCCAAAUGAGUUUAGAACUGGUCCUUGGUGCAGACUCAAGUAUUAGGGACAAGUGUAAAAAUGCCCUUACUUACUCAGAUUUCUUUAUGGUGAUGUGAUAGGAAAAUGUUCUUUAGGAACUAUUUUGACUUUCACUGCCCGGCAUGUACCACCUGCCGACAAUUUUGGGGCAAUUGUUACGCAAGUGUUUAUUGACUACUGGGCAGAUGUUAGGCAUGUGCCAGAAUAGGGUUAGAUGCUGGACAGCUUCAUACAGGUUUGACUCAUGUCUAUAUUUGUGGGUGAAUUCUGUCAUGAACAUUGUUGGGUACAUUGUUGUUACAACAUAGUUAGGUCAGAUUUGGGUAAUGUCCAAUAAUUCUAUUCACUUUAUAAUGUGUGGGCUAGAUCUGGACCAAGGACCCAGUUGUAUACUGGGCCAGAUGUGGCCAAGACACAUUUUGCUAUGCAUUUAAAAAAAAAUCUGUUUUAAACCAAAACCUUCCUAUAGGACUAUUGUGAAAACAAUGUGUCUUUUUUUUAACCAGCUUAUUCAUAACUAAUUUUGUGCAAAGCUUUCUUUGAGGUAAUUUUUAGAGACUUUACUCUCUUCAGAUGUCUGCUUCCUGUCACUACCGAAUAAUUCUAACUCAGUAAGUCUCUCUGGAAAGGAGCAUUUCACACCAAACCACUCUGAAUGACUUUGGUUGCAGUUAAGUGCUUCAUUUUGCAGACAUUUAAAAAGAUCUAUGGAAUUCUCCUUCAAGUACAUACACUCUAUAAGCGUUUGCCAACUGAGGAGUUGUCUGGAUGGUAGCUUAUGAUGCUCCAAAAACCUGUAGCAUAAAUGGUACAUUCACAGUUGUGCAAGUCACCCAUGCCAUGUGCUCUAAUGCACCCCCACACCAUCACAGACACUGGCUUUGGAAUUGUGCACUGAUAACAAGCUUAAAAGUCUUUGGUUGCCCCUGUCCCAACUCUAUUGAAACAUUUUGUUGUCAUCAAAUUCAAAAUGAGCAUAUAUUUUUUCAAGAAGCAAUUCAAUUUCCUAGUUUCAACAUUUGAUAUGUUUGCCUUGCACCAUUUGAAAUUACAUAUAGGGAUUAAAUGAUUUGCACGUCAUUCUGUAAUUUACCUUUUGCACAGCAUCCCGACUUUUUAGGAAGCAGGAUUGUUGUAACUGUCAGUUGGCUACAAUAGUAACUGUUAACCUGUUAAAUCUGUAAAAUGUCUAGUAGGAUUACUAAUCCACCACAAGUUGUCUGCUGAAGUGUAUGUUUCUACAACUUUACUUCCACAAACAUGUUUAUGUUUGUACUGUAAAAGCUGUAAAUAUGUAAAGCUGUAUUGGUUUAGUAUUUUGAUGGAUGGAGGACCAUUUCAGAAAUGACCAGGAAACAAAGAGCAGCGUCUUCUAACUCCACCAAGUUGAAUGAUUUUAGAGGACACUAUCUGUAUAAAUAAACUGUAAUGGGCAGCAGAGUAAAGAGGUAUGACUGUUCAUUCUGAAGGCGGUAGACAUUAACAAUAAAAUAUGGAUAACGUACUCUGGUGAUAUAUAAACAUUCAUAUGCGGAA